rnacentral:rRNA from 1 species
UACGUAGGGGCAAGCGUUGUCCGGAUUUAUUGGGCGUAAAGAGCGUGUAGGCGGUUUGGUAGGUCCGCUGUGAAAACUCGAGGCUCAACCUCGAGACGCCGGUGGAAACCAUCAGGCUAGAGUCCGGAAGAGGAGAGUGGAAUUCCUGGUGUAGCGGUGAAAUGCGCAGAUAUCAGGAAGAACACCCGUGGCUAAGGCGGCUCUCUAGUACGGUACUGACGCUGAAGACGCGAAAGCGUGGGGAGCGAACAGG